rnacentral:sRNA from 1 species
AGUACCAAUCCAGGCCACCCCGACCUCCCGGCAAAAGUCGAUGUCCUCGUACUCAUCGACGUUCCAGCAGUACACCGCCCGGCCCUGAGCU